AGGGUUGUGGCUCACUGAUAGAGCGCACACCUAGCACAUGCGAGGCCCUGGGUUUGAUUCUCAGCACCUAUA
rnacentral:tRNA from 1 species